CCAAAAAGCCACUUUGCUGCUGGCUUGUUUGCUACCGGCUUCUGAAUUGAAUUCUCCGCUGAGCACUUUUAUGCUGUUGCUCUGCAGUUUGACCGAAAGCUGACUCUUGAGGACUGCAGCAAAACUGUCAAGAAGUGGCUUCAUUAUGCGCCAGAAUGAGAG